GAGGAGGGAGCUGCCAACACAGCUCUCACGGCUCUUCAGAAGCUGCUGGGAACAAGCAGGACUCUGCUGAUCACCUCAUUCUGGAAUUUGCUGAAUAUAAGCAGAAAUGGCUCCGAGAAGAGGAACAAACUCUUCCAACAGUCCCUGUGUAGCCCACGCUGAGGCACCACCAACACCACUCCUAACUGAGAUGAAUAUUUCAUCUGGAGGAACCAGAGGCUGCUCUCACUUGAGCAAAAUAGCAACAAAACCAACCCAGCACUUGCUCGGCUUUUCCCUUCCUCAGAAAGAGAGGGAGAAAAACUACUGUGUAAGCCUCUUUAAAAGCAACCCGGUCCCUGGCUGAGGGAUCUCCUUGUCUGCCAACGGUCCUGAGGAGCAAAAAUCAGGUUCUACACAAGAAAAUGGGGUACAACUUGAGAUAUCUUUGAAAGCAAUCAUUUCUCUUUGUGAUAAUCUCCAUUCUUGUCUCCAGUCACAUUUUGUUUCAUGUGUAAAUAUGUGUGUAACAGAACACAGGACUGAGGUUUCAAACCUAAACAGAAAAUGUUAUAAAUAAAGACCUUAACAGAAUAAACAAAUGAAGAAGGAAAGGGCUUUAAUUUGUAUUUGCCAAUUCUGGAAACAAUUGCUGUGGG